AGGGUGGCAUAGUGUUAAGAGCGUCAGCCUCGGAUGCUGAGUGUGGCGGGUUCGAACCCCGGCUGAGUUG